rnacentral:lncRNA from 1 species
UUCAUGGCUACUAUAAAAAGGGAAAACUGUAAGAAGGAAGUUGUUGUAAUUGUUGAUAUUGAAUAAGAAAAUACAUCUUCGCCAUACAUUUGAGUACAGUUAAGUCAUCAUGUAAAAUGUUUACCGUUGUCAUGAGCUAUGAAUCAAUACAACGAAGACUAAGACUAAGCUAUGAAUCAAUACAACUAAGACUACGACUAAGUAAGAUGCUUACACUUAUAUGCUACCUUUGACUUAAAUGGCUACAUGACCCACAUUUCAGAUUUGCUGUGAAUUUAAUAAUUUCAGUGAGUACGAGGCAUGAUCCACGUUUCUGAUUUGAUGUGAAAUUUAAACCAUUUCGGUGAGUAUAAAUAAUAGUUUGCAACUGAGGCAUUCUCUGAACAAAUUUCUUCUUAUUCCGCUUCUUCUGUUUUAUGUCCCUGACUGGAGAUGGAGAUGGAGUGGCUCUUAGUUUGUCUUGUUACAUUACCAUUCUUAUUCUUUACUAUGCCGUCCUGUGCCAGCCAAGCAAAUUUAGCACCAGGGCAAUCUGUCGGUCCAAACCAGACGAUGAUUUCUCCCGCAGGGAACUUCGCAUUAGGCUUCUUCAGUCCUGAAAAUUCUACCAAACACUUCCUUGGUAUCUGUUACAGCAGAAUGCCAAAGGCACCAGUAGUAGUAUGGGUUGCUAACAGAGAAUCCCCACUUGAUCCUCCGGGUGUUUUCAUGUUCCGUGGUGAUGGAAAACUCGUUGUGUUGGAUUCCAUCAUGUAUGGGAAAGUUAUCUGGUCUUCUGAUGUAUUAUUUAUUGAGUCUUAUCUUCCAGAGAGUACAGAGAUAAAAAAAUAUCUUCUUCUUAUUUCACUUACUUACUCAACAAGACAUUUACAUCAGUAUAUAUAGAUACAAUUCUAUUGACAUAAUUGACCUCAACAUUCAGAAACUAAUUACACAUUCACCCUUGUCUAACUGACUCCAACUAUACAAUUACUACUAGAGUCUUUACACCCCCUCAAGUUGAGACUUGGGACAGGAAAAUGGCCAAGAGGAAGCUUGGAUUGCAGAAAACAGAAUCUGUGUUUUGAAAGGGAUUUGGUGUGAAUAUCAGCCAAUUGAUCUUGGCUGCAGACAUAAAGCACUUUAAUCAAAUGCGCCAAUACUAACUCCCGAAUGUAAUGAUAAUCCACUUCUACAUGCUUUGUCCGAGCAUGAAACACGGGAUUGGAGGCAAGAGAAAUGGCGGAAAUGUUAUCACACCAAAGAGUUGGAACAGUAGACAGAGGAAAGUGGAUAUCAGAAAAAACUUUGCAAAUCCAGGUGAUUUCAGCUGCAGUAUGUGCUAAAGCACGAUAUUCAGCUUCGGUGGAGGACCGGGCAACAGUGGGUUGCUUUUUAGCAUUCCAACUGAUCAGAUUGGGACCCAAAAACACACAGAAGCCAGUAGUAGAUCGUCUAUCAAAAGUACAACCGGCCCAGUCAGCAUCAGAAUAAGCAGUGAGGGCAAGAGAACCCUUUUUAAACCAAAGACCUUGAGUAAGAGUGCCUUUGAGAAACCGGAGAAUGCGUUUAACAGCUUGCAGGUGUUGUUCCCGUGGGGAAUGCAUGAACUGACAAACUUGGUUUACAGCAAAGGAAAGAUCAGGCCUGGUCCAAGUGAGAUACUGCAAACCACCCACUAGAGAUCUAUAUUCAGUGGGAUUAGAGAGUAAAGGGCCACUGUGAUCAAGUUUAGAGGUACCAAGAGGAGUGACACAAGGCUUGGCACCUGCCAUAUUUUUGCCUUGUGAAGAAGAUCAAGAGAGUAUUUACUUUGAUGAUGCAUGAAGAGGCCUUCAGAAUUGCGCUGCACCCUCCAAACCCAAAAAAUAAUGAAGAGGGCCCAUAUCCUUAACAGGAAAUGCUUGGCUAAGUUUGUGAAUGAAGUGUUGGCAGAGAAUGGUAUUUGGGCCGAUGACAAGAAUGUCAUCGACAUAGACCAAAACAAGAACAGGAGCUGAAGCUUGAAGAACAAAUAGAGAAGCAUCAGAGGAGGACUGCUUAAACCCAAGAGUGCACAGGACUUGGAACAGUUUAUCAAACCAAGCCCUGGGGGCUUGUUUUAAACCAUACAAAGAUUUCUUGAGGUGGCAGACAUGAGUAGGAAGAUUGGAAUCAAUGAAACCAGGUGGCUGAGUCAUAAAAACAGCUUCCUUGAGAUCUCCAUGUAAAAAGGCAUUGCUAAUGUCCAAUUGAUGGAGAAACCAGUCAUGUUGAACAGCCAAGGUUAAUAAAAUACGAAUGGUGACUGGCUUGGCUACUGGACUGAAAGUAUCUUGAUAGUCAACACCCUCUUUUUGAUGAAAUCCUUUGGCUACUAACCGAGCCUUAUACCUGUCCACCGUACCAUCAGGUUUCCUCUUAAUUCGGAACACCCAUUUACAGCCAACAAUGUUCUGAGACGGAGAGUGGGGUACCAAAUGCCAAGUACCAGUGAGUUGAAGAGCAUUAAACUCGUCCUGCAUAGCUUGUCUCCAGUGGGCAUACUUGGAGGCUUGUAAGUAUAUGGAAGGAACAAAAUCAACAUCAGGUAAAGGAUGUUUGGUGGCAGAAUAUGCUUUUGGUUUAAAGAUACCAGCCUUUGAACGAGUAAGCAUAGGAUGGGUAUUAGGAGCUGUAGAAUGGGAUACAGGAGGAGCUGCAGAAGGUGAGACAGAAUUGGAGGAUGAUGGGGAAGAAGAAACAUGCUCAGUAGAAGGGACAGUGGAUUGAACUGGAGAAGGUCGCUGGGGAAUAGAGAAGUGUAAAUCAAAAGGGGAAUGUGGAGAGGGAGAUCCCGGAGAAACCACCACAGAUGAAGAAGAAAGAAAUGGAAACCUGUUUUCAUUGAAUUGAACAUGGCGGGAGAUAUAGAUUCUCUGAGUAGUAGGAUCAAGACAUCUAUAGCCCUUGUGCUGCAAACUAUAGCCCAAAAAUACACAUUAUGUACUCUUCCCAUCUAACUUGGAGUGAACAUAUGGCUUUAACCAGGGAUAACAUGAGCAACCAAAAACCUUCAACUUGGAAUAAUCAGGGACAGAGUGAAAUAAAAGUUCCCAUGGAGACUGAUGCAAGCUGGAAAUAGGCAGGCGAUUGAUCAGGUAGACUGCAGUAGAGAAGGAUUCAACCCAAUACAAAUGAGGAACUUUCGAGGCAACUAAUAGAGUCCGUGUUGUCUCAACUAAAUGGCGGUGCUUCCGUUCAACACAGCCAUUCUGUUCAGGUGUGUGAGGACAGCUGAGCUGAUGAGAUAUACCAUGAUCUUGAAGAAAAGAUUUAAACUUGUUACUAGUAAAUUCACCCCUGAAUCGGACCUCAAACAUUUGAUUUUAUUAUUACCAACAGAAUUCUCAACAUAGGUCUUGAAUACAACAAAAGUAGAAUAUACAUCAGAUUUGGCCUUUAAAGGAAAGAACCAAGAGUACUUGCUGUAAUCAUCCACUAUUACAAGAUAGUAUUGGUAACCACAUGCAGAAAUGACAGGAGCAGGACCCCAAACAUCACAAUGUAACAAACUUAAACUAGUAGUAGAAAUAGAACUAGAGGGAUGAAACGGGAGCUUGUGAUUCUUAGCAACUGCACAGUCCGAGCAGAAGAAAUCAACAGAGUGUUUUCCCUGCAGUGCAAGCUUAUUUGCAGAUAGAACGCGCCUGAAGAUGGCAGAAGAAGAAUGCCCCAAGCGACUGUGCCAAAUAUUCACAGGGGCUUUAGUACCGACUAAAGCAUGAGGGGAUGAACAAGAUGAAGAGAAAGAAACAGGGAUACCUUGAAAAGUAUAGAAACCAUUGUUAACCGUGCCCUGCAAAAGCAUCUUCCCCGUAGAACAAUCCUUAACAACAGAACCAUUGGAAUGCAAAGUCAAAGAGCAGGAAUUAUCCUUAAGAAAUUGAUAUGCAGAGAGUAAAUUGUGCUUCAUUUGCGGAACAUGUAACACAUUGUUCAACUUAAAAGAGGCAUGAGCAGUAUUUAACAAUGUACUGCCAGUAUGACGAAUGGACAAACCUUUUCCAUCGCCGAUAUACACCUUAUCUUCACCAGUGUAGGGAGUAGGAGAAGAGAUAUUGGAGAUGUCAUGGGUGAUAUGAGAUGUAGCACCAGAAUCUAAAAUCCAUGAAGGAGACGGUUUGGAAGCAUAAUGAGUAUACAUGGCAGCAAGUUUAGUAGGGGGUACUCUACCAAAGAUAUCGGGAUUCAUUCUAUCAAAGCAAUCAAUAGCUUCAUGACUGGAGGAUCCACAAAUUUGACAAUUGUUACGAACUCUAGGAGUACUAGAAGAACGAAAACCAGGAUUGUUGGACCUUUGGAAACCAGAAUUAGAGUGAGAGCCCCUAUUAUUGUUGCCCUGAUAGUUUCUAUUGCCUCUGUUGUUGGGAAAGCGAUUAUUGUGCCGUCCACGAUUAGAGUUGUAGCGAGAAGAAUUCUGCAUAGGGUGAUGUUGAGCGGCAUAAGCUUGAGAAGAAUGUGGUGUAGGAAGGAGAGGUGGUUGAUUCUGAGCAGCAUAAGCAUGAACCGGUUCAGCCGCAACUAAUUUCUUACGACGAGCCAUUGACAAUUCUUUAGUAAGAAGAAGACCAUGCAGUUCAUCCAAAGUAGUAGAUGAGAGGCAAAGAGUAAUAGAAUCAACAAAUGAGUCAAAUUCCUCUGGUAAACCAUGCAAUGUAGCAGCAAUCAAGUCACGAUCGGACACAGAGGCACCAGCAGCUGUUAAAGAAUCAGAAAUUGCUUUAAUUUGCUGGAGAUACUCAGAGAUCGAUUGAGAGCCUUUCUGAAGAGAUUGAAGACGAGAGCGAAGCUGAUGAAUAUGAGCAUCGGAGAUGCCACCAAACCUCUGUUCCAAUUUGAGCCAUAAAUCACGAGAAAAAGAAACUCCAACUGUGAAAGGAAUAAUCUCCUCCGAGAGUGUAGAGUUCAACCAAAUCAAGAGAUUUUGAUCUUUUUUGUACCACUGUUCAAACGCAGGAUUGACAGAGCGAUCAGACAAGAGAGGAGAGGGACAAGGUUCAGAACCAUCAAUAACACCGAGAAGCUUGUAGCGACGAAGAAUUGGGGCAAAGAGCGCUCGCCAUGGAAGAUAAUUCGAACUCUUAAGCUUGAUCGGAACCAUACUGCCAAUGUUCUGAAUCGUGAGAGAGGUAUAGCUUUGCACCAAAUUAGGGUUUGGAGAAGAGGAAUUUGGGAGAGAAGAUGACGAAUCAGACGCCAUGGUUGAAGAUACAGGUAAGAUUCAACCAAAUAACCACACUAAUGACAGAAAAGAAGCACCAGAGAUCGGAUCGAACCAGAGACCGUAGCAGAGAAGCCGUGAGAUCAGAGAUCGGAACGGACCAGAGAUCGGAGCGGAGAAGCCAUGAGAUCAGAUCUAAGCAGAAAAUCCGUGAGACUGUGAGAUCAGAUCGAACCAGAGAGCAGAUCGAAGAUGCCGAGAGGAUCGAAGAGUCACCAAGCAGGAAGACGAUGACGAGAGGGAUCGAAGAUUCAUCAAGGCCGUGAGGCGGUGGCGAUUGAUACCAUAUUGAGUCUUAUCUUCCAGAGAGUACAGAGAUAAAAAAAUAUCUUCUUCUUAUUUCACUUACUUACUCAACAAGACAUUUACAUCAGUAUAUAUAGACAAUUCUAUUGACAUAAUUGACCUCAACAUUCAGAAACUAAUUACACAUUCACCCUUGUCUAACUGACUCCAACUAUACAAUUACUACUAGAGUCUUUAUUAUUAUCUGCUUCUGCAGUGAA